UACGUAGGUGGCAAGCGUUGUCCGGAUUUACUGGGCGUAAAGGGCGUGCAGGCGGUUUGUUAAGUCUAGGGUGAAAGCUCCCGGCUCAACUGGGAGAGGUCCUUGGAUACUGGCAGACUUGAGGAGGGUAGAGGAGAGUGGAAUUCCCGGUGUAGUGGUGAUAUGCGUAGAUAUCGGGAGGAACACCAGUGGCGAAGGCGGGUCACUGGUCCAUUACUGACGCUGAGGUGCGAAAGCGUGGGGGAGCAAACAGG
rnacentral:rRNA from 1 species